AAAUUUUAUCUUAGGCCACGGUUUUUUAAUUUGUUGGUUUACGGAUUUUUCGCAUAAAAAAGUCGGGUCGGUCGGUCGGAAAAAAAAAGAAAAAAAAAUAUCUUUCAAAACAGAAAAAAUAUGCAAAAUAAAUAUAUAUUUCACCUUACUAACAAAAUGUUGGUCUUAUAUGCUGUUUUGUCAUCAUUUCUUAACAUUAAGUUCGUUGAAAUAUUAUUGAUCAGUGAUCAUGAACAUCGCAUGACAUCGUUUAAUAAUUUCCUGUAAAAAAGGGGGGUUGCACGGACAAAGACGAAAUUAAAUCGUCAUUUCACAAACAAGAAAAACAGAUUCGCGUAGCUCUCAAUCAAUUCCAGAAAACUUGGUGAAUAAUGAUCUUCAAGCACAAAAACUGAUAAAGAAAAAAAUAUAAAAACGUCGUACAAAAAUAAGUUUCAACACACGUGUCGAAAAACGUAAUAGACUCGUCCACUGGAAAAACGACAAUAUCGGGUUAAUCAGUUGUCAUGCAAUCCGGUUUUUAUCCCAAUGAUCGAUAUUUUUUGUUAUCUAUGAAACAAGAAAAUUUCAAAUGAUUUGUUAAUAUUCAGUACUUUAAUUGAUGUAUUCCACCUGUCCACAUUUGGACAAGUCUAUUUCUCUGAGAUGAUGCAUCUUACGGACUGAUGACAAAUAAGGGAAACGAACUUAUUUUGUAAUUGGUUUUAAACACAGGUUUCGUUCCGCAAAAUUAUUUGCGCAAAAGACAUUUCAAGGUCAGUUAUAAUUGAUUUGUCUAUUUUUAGAAACGUAAAUUGGAAGUUUUAUUUUUCACAACAGAAAGUGUU
rnacentral:lncRNA from 1 species